CAGCCGCCGCGGGAAUACGGAGGGCGCGAGCGUUACCCGGAUUUACUGGGCGUAAAGGGCGUGUAGGCGGCCUGGGGCGUCCCAUGUGAAAGGCCACGGCUCAACCGUGGGGGAGCGUGGGAUACGCUCAGGCUAGAGGGUGGGAGAGGGUGGUGGAAUUCCCGGAGUAGCGGUGAAAUGCGCAGAUACCGGGAGGAACGCCGAUGGCGAAGGCAGCCACCUGGUCCACUUCUGACGCUGAGGCGCGAAAGCGUGGGGAGCAAACCGGAUUAGAUACCCCAGUAGUCCCUGUCUCUUAUAC
rnacentral:rRNA from 1 species